CCGCGUUGACGGCAUUGAGUUUGACAUUUCAAAUUAGGGGGUGAAACGUAAACAAACGCAGUGAGAAAAACUAUAAUUUUUGUUCAAAGUUAUCUUGAGAUUCUAUAGCUUUCUGCAAAAAUGGCAUCCAAUGCGAUAAACUCUUCGAUGAUGACGGUAAAUUUGCAGCUUGCCGAUAUUUUUCAAUACGUCGGAGGAGGAAGCAGGUUGAUAGUCGAAGGUUCCCUUCAGUUCCAUUGCUUACAGUAACAGAUUUGCAACAAAAGUGGGGUAAAAUUGCAGAAAAAGUUGCUGACGAUAUGUACAAGACAACACCAUUGACCGCAUUCUGCAAAAAAAUGACGAAUACAAAAGAUACGACUGAAGCUGCCUCGCCGGCGGGUUUGACUCACGAUGAGGGUACCAACAUUCUUUAGCUUUUCGUGAAAGGUUUGCUUCCAAUUUAUUGAUCGAUUUUUUGAAAUAAAAUUUUAAUUAUUAAUUAUUAGGAUUCCCUGAAAGCGGUCUGGCAUACGAAAAGAAAGGACGAGAAAUGAAAAAUAUUGACAAAAAUGAUGAAUCUGAUGUUCUGAAUACACUUCUCGAUAUAGAUGUGCAAAGUCAUUCUACAGAAUCCAUUGAUUCGUUAAUUUCUAUUGAAGAAAAUAUGACUUGCAGUCUACUUAAAUCCUUCCUGAGAAGAUCGUUUCAUCCUGAUAACUUCACGAUGAUCGAUCGUGAAAUAAUGGAAUUUAUAGGUCCGUUAGAAAAGGAUCUGCAACUUCAUUUCGAAAUUAAUGUGAAAGUAUCGGAAU